GAUGAACGCUGGCGGCGUGCCUAAUACAUGCAAGUCGAACGCUGGAGAUCUAGCUUGCUAGAUCGAAGGAGUGGCGAACGGGUGAGUAAUACAUAAGCAGCCUACCCACGAAGACUGGGAUAAUCUCUGGAAACGGGGACUAAUACCGGAUAGGUAAUCGGAAGGCAUCUUCUGGUUAUUAAAGGUUAAAAACACUGGUGGAUGGGCUUAUGGCGCAUUAGUUAGUUGGUGAGGUAACGGCCCACCAAGACGAUGAUGCGUAGCCGGCCUGAGAGGGUGAACGGCCACAUUGGGACUGAGACACGGCCCAGACUCCUACGGGAGGCAGCAGUAGGGAAUUGUCGGCAAUGGGGGCAACCCUGACCGAGCAACGCCGCGUGAGUGAAGACGGCCUUCGGGUUGUAAAGCUCUGUUGUAAGGGAAGAACGGUAGAUAGAGAAUAUCUAAGUGACGGUACCUUACCAGAAAGCCACGGCUAACUACGUG
rnacentral:rRNA from 1 species